AGGUGCAAUCAUACCAACAUUAAUGUACUGGAUCCCAUAAAAACUCCCCAGUUAACCAUGCUUGGGCUAGAGUAGUACUGGGAUGGGUGACCUCCUGGGAAGUCCUAGUGUUGCACCCU
rnacentral:rRNA from 1 species